GUUCUUUCUGACUGGUGCCUAUGGGAGGUUACCUAAGCAGCGUUCCAUUGCUUGUAACUGAUGCUAUUCUCUCUGAGGAGAGACGAAACUUCAACCAGCUACCUCCUAUGUAGCCAUGCUGGCAAAGACAAAGGAAGACAGUUUGGAGCAGGCGCAGGAAAAGAGUGUAUGGGUAUCAACUGCAAUGCUGAGCAAGAAGAUUCAAUAAAAUGUCACACUUUGUUAAUUAAACACCAAAGAGAAAAUAUAUAAUUAGAUCACCAGGAGGUGCAACAACAACAAAAAAUCUAUUGUUCUACUGUGUUCCAAUCCUGUUAAAUCAACUCGCUGUUCGUGAUAAAUUAAGUCUGCACUGCAGAUUUCCAGAAGUGGCUUUUACAUCGUGUGAAGGAUGAAAUAAGAUGCGGAAAUUAUCAGGUGAGGAAAUGUUGGAAAAAUGGAAUAAACUGCUGUCUGAAUGAAGCCACUGGAUCCUGAAAUUCAGGAAAAAAUCCAGUUCUUUUACAUCUUGAUGCAUAAUAAUUUGAAUAUGCCAGACAAAAGGAUUGCGAAUACACUUUUGAAAAGAGUUGCAAAUAUGAAUGCUGAUGUUUAUCUUUACUUCGGUAUAACAAAAAUAAGGAGGAAAAAACCCUCCCCUGGGUGCAGGAAGAAUUUGGGGACUGGGAUCUUGGAAAGGACAACAGGAGGGCUAAAUUGCUAUAUAGGAACUGUACAUUGACCUCUCUUUGUUCUUAAAGGCUGACAUGCUGCAAUCUGUUUAUAGCAAUCUGUUUAUAGCCAGGAAGGAGGGAAGAUGGCUCAUUGACAACCCCUACAGGAGGACAGAUUAUGUCCUUAGUUAUUUGAACACCUGCACUUUGUUGCUGGAAGUUGUUCCAUAAAGAGAAGGACAAACAAGGUGAUUCCAUUUUAACAAAUGAACUUGUUUAGAGCUAAACAGUCAGGCAAACCUAAUUUGCUAGCUAAGACAUUUUGAGCCGUAGGCUAAAAACACUAAGCGAGUUUCAAGGUACUUUCCUUCUGAGAGUAAACCUCAAUGCAUGCCUUUUAAUAAUAUGUACAGCACAUUUCCACUUUCGUUCACAAGAGUGGUUUCUUGAUGAAGUACAAAAAGUUCAUACCUAUAGAUCAUUAUAAGAGAACAUACUGAGUUUUAGCACUUGUUUAAGGCCAGCAUUUACUAAUGGUCCACAACAACCAACAUGUUACUUAUUUUGAAUAGGGUAUAUGUAAUUGGAUGUGCUUGUUGUGGGUAAUAAUAUAUGUGAGGGCAAUGCAACUUGUUUUUCUGUCCAAAUAACUUUUCUUUUUGUUCUUGUGGUACUUUUCUUACAACUGGUAGAAAUUAGAUAAGACUUCCUUUACUUUAAACUUAUCUAUUUGUCUUUGGAAAAGUAAUAAAACCGCAUUUCCUUCUUAACUUGGUUUAUGAAAGCACAGCUGUCACAAUCACCUAGUAUUAAUAGUAGACUUUAAUAAAAGAAGGAAGAGAGAUGUUUGCUGGAAGUGAGCAAUAGGCCGUGUAAUUUGAUUGUUACCUUUUUUGUAUCUUUAAUUUUUGGGUAUUUUUUAAUGCAUAGUAAAUUAUGCAUAACAACUUUGAUUGAAUGUAUAUGCAAUUAUGUUUAAACAAUUAACGUGUGGUAAGAGGGUGGGGAGAAAGAUGUAAGCUAAUCCAUAUUUAAUAGGGAGUCAGUAAAUAUUUUAAAUGAAGCUACACUUGAAUUAUGUGCCUUUGUUUUCCCCCCAUUUCUGCAGCAUUAUGAAAUAUUGUUAUAAUUGCAGAUACAGUUUUGUUGCAAUAUUUUUCAUGAUAAUAUUCAGUU